UCAGGACUGGGCCCAGUCCUGUUUUAUAUCUUUAUCGAUGUUCUUGAUGAGGGGAUCAAGUGCGCCCUCAGAAAGCUGGAGAC